rnacentral:rRNA from 1 species
GAUGAACGCUGGCGGCGUGCCUAAUACAUGCAAGUCGAGCGAAUGGAUUAAGAGCUUGCUCUUAUGAAGUUAGCGGCGGACGGGUGAGUAACACGUGGGUAACCUGCCCAUAAGACUGGGAUAACUCCGGGAAACCGGGGCUAAUACCGGAUAACAUUUUGAACCGCAUGGUUCGAAAUUGAAAGGCGGCUUCGGCUGUCACUUAUGGAUGGACCCGCGUCGCAUUAGCUAGUUGGUGAGGUAACGGCUCACCAAGGCAACGAUGCGUAGCCGACAUGAGAGGGUGAGCGGCCACACUGGGACGGAGACACGGCCCAGACUCCUACGGGAGGCAGCAGUAGGGAAUCUUCCGCAAUGGACGAAAGUCCGACGGAGCAACGCCGCGUGAGUGAUGAAGGCUUUCGGGUCGUAAAACUCUGUUGUCAGGGAAGAACAAGUGCUAGUUGAAUAAGCUGGCACCUUGACGGUACCUAACCAGAAAGCCACGGCUAACUACGUGCCAGCAGCCGCGGUAA